AUCGGCGGGGGAGCAUUGACGUUAUCUACAGAAGAAGCACUGGCUAACUCUGUGCCAGCAGCCGCGGUAAUACAGAGAGUGCAAGCGUUAAUCGGAAUCACUGGGCGUAAAGCGCGCGUAGGUGGAUGUUUAAGUCGGAUGUGAAAGCCCUAGGCUUAACCUAGGAACUGCAUUCGAUACUGAAUAUCUCGAGUAUGGUAGAGGGAAGUGGAAUUUCCGGUGUAGCGGUGAAAUGCGUAGAUAUCGGAAAGAACACCAGUGGCGAAGGCGGCUUCCUGGACCAAUACUGACACUGAGGUGCGAAAGCGUGGGGAGCAAACAGGAUUAGAGACCCUGGUAGUCCACGCCGUCAACGAUGAGAACUAGCUGUUGGGAAGUUUACUUUCUAGUAGCGAAGCUAACGCGUUAAGUUCUCCGCCUGGGGAGUACGGCCGCAAGGUUAAAACUCAAAGAAAUGAGCGAACCAUGCCUACGGGUGGUACC
rnacentral:rRNA from 1 species